UCCAUGCUACAGUAUGUGGACUUGCCAACCAGUUCAUACAUUUUGGACAGCAGUAACUCAAAUAUUAUUAUCUCUACUGAGUCAUAGGAUUCCAUUAUCUCCAUCUCUAUGCUUGCUUGGUGACACAACACAGAUGGAUCUCAGAUACCUGCAUCUAAUCACAGUACACAGUACUACAUAUACAAAACAAGAUCACUGCAAUUUGUAUUUUGGUGAUACUUGCCAGCCAUUUCAACUGUGAGAACUGUGUUUAUAUUCCCAGGUAUGUCUGGAAAAAUGUGGGGCUAUAAUCGGUGCAUGGAAUCUUCAUCACAAUCACUGGGUUCUUGUGGUAAGAAGACAGUUGUGUACACAAAAUGUGCAUUUCUUAAUUACAUGUAUUUAUAGAGGGUCAUAUGGUGGAAUUACUCAUCCACAAAAUGCUUCAUUUCAUCUCCACUGUAGUACCUAAAUGCCUACACACACACUGUGGUGCUUCUGGAUCCACAGAAGGACAAUGAGAUGGUGGAAUCAAAAGUAGCUGCUGAUUGCUUUAGCAACUUUUUUGCCCUACGUAAUGAGCGACUUAAAAAACAGGAGCUGUGUGGGGGAAAAUGGAAACCAGCCACAGUUGCACACACAUUACAAAAAGACAGCUGUAGUUGUGGGGUCUUUGUAAUGGAAAUGGGCAAGCAGCUUAUCAACCACUUUCCUCGGGUUCCCAGUUACAUCAUCAUUCCAGGUGACAUCAUUCAAUGCCGUGAGACUAUGGCGAUGGAAAUACUCAGUGGUUCAGGUACACUGCAAGUAGUGGCCUUAUGUUCUCUGUCUUCAAUCAAGAACCAUAUCUACACUAUCCCUGACAUGAUGUUAUUGUUGGCUUGCAAGUCGUACCUGUAACGUCUCCCACUGCUAGAAAUAUAGCACAUGUGAUGUGGCAUUGCACAGCCUGUGCAGAUGAGUCUUCGUCAUAAAGCAGCAGCGUACUUCAGGGUCUGAACCCAAAAUGUGAGUGUUGUCAGGGUGCUACACACUGGUGGUGGUUAAGGUGGCUUGGCACAUGACUGGUGGGGUACCUUGGUGUCAGGCCAGUGUGUCUGGUGAGAGUGGAUGUUUGUAUGUGUGUGUGGCGUGUCGGCGGGGCUCAGCUUGGAUGGGGCAUAUGUAUAUGGAUAUGUAUA